rnacentral:rRNA from 1 species
GACGUAGGGCGCGAGCGUUGUCCGGAUUCAUUGGGCGUAAAGAGCUCGUAGGCGGCUCAGUAAGUCGGGUGUGAAACCUCCAGGCUCAACCUGGAGACGCCACCCGAUACUGCUGUGGCUAGAGUCCAGUAGGGGAGCGUGGAAUUCCUGGUGUAGCGGUGAAAUGCGCAGAUAUCAGGAAGAACACCCGUGGCUAAGGCGGUUCUCUAGUACGGUACUGACGCUGAGACGCGAAAGCGUGGGGAGCGAACAGG